rnacentral:rRNA from 1 species
UACGUAGGGUGCAAGCGUUGUCCGGAAUUAUUGGGCGUAAAGAGCUCGUAGGCGGUUUGUCGCGUCUGCUGUGAAAACCCGAGGCUCAACCUCGGGCCUGCAGUGGGUACGGGCAGACUAGAGUGCGGUAGGGGAGAUUGGAAUUCCUGGUGUAGCGGUGGAAUGCGCAGGUAUCAGGAGGAACACCAAUGGCGAAGGCAGAUCUCUGGGCCGUAACUGACGCUGAGGAGCGAAAGCAUGGGGAGCGAACAGG